ACAUAUCUGAUUAAUUUUAACCUAGGUUUCUAGAUAUUAGUUUAUUAUUGUACCACAAGUAAUCAAUGUCCCUUUGCAACAAAAAAGCAAUUCAAAGGCAAUUUUCAUACGACUACUUGGAGUUUCUGCCUCAAGUUAUUCUUGACGUUUGGUUGUAGAUCUUUGUUGCCAUUACAUUCCCAAUCUAGCCUUUGAAUGGAAGGGAGACGUGCGACAAAAAUAUCGUCACCUUGUC